UCAAGAGAUCCAUUAGCUGACAGGCGUCUCUCUCUCACACUGCAUCAUCUAUUCAUUACUGAAGAAAGGCACAAGAUGUCCCACCAGAUAGUUGGGGUGAUUCUAGUCUGUCUUCACAUGACUGCCUCAGACGAAGGGAUACAAAUCCUGCAAAGCCCAGCACAGAUGUGGAGGACCCCUGGACAGACCGCACAGCUGGACUGUAGCCCUUCAAAAAAAGAAUGGAGCAUUGUGUGGUACAAAGAACAGCACAGUGGAAGUUUACAAUGGAUUUACCAGAGUUCUCGGUAUGCAACUUCAAAUGGAAAAUACUCGAGUAAAGUGGACCUUACGGCAAAUAAUUUCUCUCUUGCUAUCAGUAAUGUACAAAGAAAUGACUCGGGGAUUUAUUACUGUGGCCUCUCUGCUUCUGUGUAUGUACAGCCCAACUUUGGGACUGGGACCAGACUAAUUGUCACAGAUGCCUCCGAGCCGAGUCUUUCCAUUCUGGUUCCCUCCACCCCAGAGGAUGCUGAGCUUCCCCCCGUCAUUCCUCUGCUCUGCCUGCUGUCUGAUUUCACUCCUCCCUGGAGUGCUGUUCUCUGGGACACUGGUGAGGAGGCAUCUGAGGGUCAGACGGAUGCUGGAGCCAUAGACGGGAAUGGGGUCUUUAGUGUUUGGAGCCUAAUGACAAUCCCUUCUGAGACGUGGAACCAGAAAACGAUCUGCAAUUGCACAGCCAAGGACAGCAGCACAGGGAGAAGCAUCAGUGCUACAGUCUCCAAGGAAACAGGUCCAGUAUUGUAUCACCCAAUCUAACCUGCCUACCUGGG